rnacentral:tRNA from 1 species
GGUUGGGUAGCUCAGCUGGAUAGAGCAACAGCCUUCUAAGCUGUGGGUCGAGGGUUCGAAUCCCUCCUCAAUCACCA